UACGUAGGGCGCAAGCGUUGUCCGGAAUUAUUGGGCGUAAAGAGCUCGUAGGCGGUCUGUUACGUCUGCUGUGAAAACCCAGGGCUUAACCCUGGGCUUGCAGUGGAUACGGGCAGACUAGAGGCAGGUAGGGAGAAUGGAAUUCCCGGUGUAGCGGUGAAAUGCGCAGAUAUCAGGAGGAACACCGGUGGCGAAGGCGCCACUCUGGGCCGAAACUGACGCUGAGGAGCGAAAGCGUGGGUAGCAAACAGG
rnacentral:rRNA from 1 species